rnacentral:lncRNA from 10 species
CCUUUUUUCAAUCCUCCCUGCAAUUGGCUACUUUUAGGAUCCUGCUGAUUGGUGUGUUUUACAGAGUGCUGAUUGGUGCGUUUUACAGAGCGCUGAUUGGUGCAUUUUAUAAUCCUCUUGCUAACUACAGAGCACUGAUUGGUGUGUUUUACAAUCCUCUUGUAAGACAGAAAAGUUCUCCAAGUCCCCACUCGACCCAGGAAGUCCAGCUGGCUUCGCCUCUCACUGGAAUUACAGUUACAGAGGCUGAGAAGUCCAAGAUCAAGGGACCACAUCCAGUGAGAGCCUUCUUGCUGGUGGGACUGAUAUGGUUUGACUGUUUUGUCCCCUAUACAUCUCGUUUCAUGUGACCUCUGAUGUUGGAGGUGGGCCUAGUAGGAGGUGUUUGGGUCAUAGGGGUGCAUCCCUCAUAAAUGGCUUGGUGUGUCCUCACAGUAAUGAGUGAAUUUCAAUCUGUGAGUUCACGUGAGAUCUGGUUGUUCAAGAGCCUGGCAGCUCCUCCCUCUCUCUCUUGCUCCUUCCCUUGCCAUGCCACACGCUGGCUCCCCCUUCAGCUUCUGCCACGAUUGUAAGCUUCUUGAGGCCUCACAGGAGCAGCUGUUGGUGCCAUGCUUCAUGUACAUCCUGCAGAACCAUGAACCAAAUAAAUCUUUUUUCUUUAUAAAUUACCCACCUUCAAGUAUUCCUUCAUAGCAACCCCAAAAUGGACUAACAGAGGGACUUUCUGUAGAGUUCCAAGGCAACAUGGGGUAUCACAUGGGGAGGAGAAUGAGCAUGCUAACAUGCUUGCACAGGUCUUUUUUCCUCUUCUUAUACAGUCACCAGUUCCCCUCCCAAAAUAACCCAUUAAUCCAUUUACCCACUAAUCCAUUAAUCUAUGAAUGGAUUAAUCCAUUCAUGAGGACAAAGCCCUCAUAAUCCAAUCACCUCUUAAAGGCCCCACCUCUUAAUAUUGCUACAUUGAGGACUAUAUUUCAACACAAGUUUUGAAGGAGACAAAUAUUCAAACCACAGCAAAUACAUUCUCCAAACCAUACACAGAUCUAUCAGCAAAGAGUGGGGACCUAACUGGCUUGAGAUGUUUGAACCAAACCUCUGACUAAUCUUUGGCUGACAAAAUAUGCUGAAACAAGAGUAAUUCUAGAAAGCCUCUCUUUAAAAAAUGUGAGUGCAGACAUUAGCAGCCUCACAUUGUAGUGGAGACAAAUUCCACAGAAUUAGUCCAGACAAGUGUAUCAUACAAACAGCAACCCCCUUUGGGGCAAAUCACAAUGUAGCAUUCCUAUAACAUAAUGUGUACAAUGCCAGUUUUUUUUUGUUUUUUUUUUUGAGACAGAGUCUCACUCUGAUGGUGGAUUGGAAACAGUGUCAGCAUGACUCUCCCACUUGGAAAGACAAAAUGGUGAGUAGAAAUUCAUACUGUGAACUUUUUUCUAAGAAGCAAUGCAGGAACUGAACAGAAAAACAGAAACCAUAGACCCUUUGAAAGAAGCAGCAGGCUGCAGCCUACACCCACUGUGAGCCAGGUGAAAAAUUGUAAGUCCUCAGAGUGUGACAGGGGGAGAGACUGCCUCCAGGAUAUACAUCCCCACCAGGUAACCUGGCAAUUCAGCCCACAGGGGAAGGCCUUAACCAUACCCAGCACUGGAACUAAUAUAGGGAGUGGUGGGGUAAUAUAAAAGUAGGAGCAGCAGCAAGCAGAGCCUUGCAUGCAUUCCUAGUCUCCAGCACAGACCGAGGGAAGCCACUCCUGAUUCUACGUCACAGAGGGCCUCACGGAAGUCAACUAGCUCAGGCAGAGGUUGCAGGUUGAAAGAAGCUCCCAACUGAAAUUCAUAUAAUCUUGAGUGGGGAUGAACUCCCUUGACCAGAACCAGUGGGUGAGUAAGAAGUGUGCUGCAGCCACAGGCACAGGAACCGGGCACUCUUGCUUUGCAGGUAGAUUGGGAGGGGGCAUGGCCUGAACACUGGUUCCUGUCUCCACAGGGAAGGCUUAUGGCCUAGGGCAGUUUUGAGUUCUGAGCUUACACGGCCUGGAAUUUAGCUAGCGGCUGCUAGUGAACACUAUAGGUGAGAGACCUGCCUUGCCAAGUGCAUGAGAGCUGGGUGAGGCUUGUGAACUCUUUUAUGUGGCAGAGGCAGCUAUGUUCCUUCCUGAAACAUUACCCCAGUGGCCAGAGAAAUGCCCCCUAAACCCCUCAGGAGCCUCUGCUUGCCCUGCACAUGGAGAGCCAAAGCAUGGACCUGCCUAACCCAGCCCCUACCUGGCUUUGCCCCUACACCAGCCCUGGUAGUUCACUACAAGGGACAGCAACUUUUGGGAGCCCUAUGGCCAUUGCCUGAGAAUCCAGAGUACCUCUCUGGGGUAACAUAAGGCAAUUAACAUAAAGCAAAGCAGUUAAUCCCACCACUUCUACUGUAGCUGGUGCUCUAUUGCAAGUACCACCUCCUGGCUGGAGGCCAACUGAUACAUUAUAGCAUCGUUGGGUAGAAUAACCCUGUGCCCAGGAAAGAGAAAACUUGUGCAUGACCUCAGCUAUCACCAUCGCCUGCACCACCCUGGCUAACCAGGAGGUCCUGAUCUGUCCACAUGACAGAUUCAUUGGUACUACAAGCAGCAUUUGAGACAGCCAAUACAUGAAGGCUAUUUACAACCAAGGAAUCUCACAGAGUCUACAUCACUCCCCUGUGACCCGCAUCAGAAGGGGUGUUGGUACUUGCUGCUGGGACAAUUAAGGACUGGUCACAUCACUGGAUCUCUUGCAGACACUCCCCAGCACCAGCCUGGAGUGUGGCAGCUCCACUAGGUGGCUAGACGCAGCAGAGCAGCAGCAUUCACAGUGGUCUGUUUCUUAGGGAAUCCUACUCCUAGGGGAAAACUUCCUAGGGGAAUUGGGUGUGCACCACAUCAAGGGAACACCCCAUGGAACAAAAAAAUCCAGAUGCAGGCCUUGAGUCCUGGAUCUUUCUGCUGAUGGAAAGUCUCUUUCAGCAGAGGCACAGUUACAAUACUGAGCUCAGCAGGGAAAGUCUGAAGCUCUACCCCAACACACAGGUAACCCUGGUGCUCAUGAAGGGUCUUGGAGAAGGGGACUUCUUUUUCCCCUUGUCCACCACUGCAGAAACAACUGGGGCUUUUCCAGUGGGAGCAUGUGUGGGUACACCAUAGAGAGCCUUGCUGGAAAACUUCAGGGUAACUGCAUCCCCACAGUAGAGAGCACCUUCUAUGUUCAGACUUGGAUGAGAGGUAGACUCACGAUUCCUCUCAACUUGGAACAUCAACGUUCCUGCAGACAAAAUGAGGUGCCUGUCUGAUCUGCAUAGCUGGAACACUGAGUCAGGAGUGUGUCUGGGAGGUGGACUGCUUCCCUGCGCCUUGCGGGGGAGCUGAUGUGGCUCCCAAUCUACCCCCUGAUAAGACCUCAGUGUGUUUCACUGAGAGCUCCACCUAUCACCUAUGUCAAGAUUGGGACUUCAGCCCGCCAUUGGGUACUGCAUUUACCUACUACAAUAACCACAACCAGUUUCUACCAGAGAUGUCUCCCCUACUGGCCUGAAGCCUAAAAUAUUCAACCCAGUAAAUAAAAUACAGGGAAAAUAAACAAAUAUAAGUGCACAACACAGGAGAACAAGGUAAGCUUCAAGAUACCUCUGCAAUUCCAACCCCAUUGGAGACAGUGAGCACAAUGCUACUACAACCAUUAUCUGAGAAAGCCAUCAAACAAAGACUUUCUAUAACCAAGGAAUUAAUAGUCUUCACCUCUGAAAGCACCAAGAGUCGAAAUAGGCUACAAUAAAGUCACAUCCUUAAGGGAGAAAAGAUAAAUAAAAAAAACCAACAAUUGAAUAAAAAAUAAAUUCAAGACUAAUUAGAAGAUAUAUUCUACCCAAAUGAGAGAGAGAAAAAAAACAGAAAAAUAAUUCUGGUAAUAUGAAAAAAACAGGAUUCUAUUACACCCCCAAAAGAUCACACUAGCUCUCCAGCAAUGGAUCCAAACCAAGAUGAAAUCUCUGAAAUGCCAGACAAAGAAUUAAAAAGAUUGAUUAUUAAGUUACUCAAGAAGAUACCAGAGAAAGGUGAAAGCCAAUAUAAAGAAAUUUUUUAAAACUUCAGGAUAUGAAUAAAAAAUUUUAUAAAGAAAUAGAUAUUUUAAAGAAAAGCCAAUCAGAACUUCUGGAAAUGAAAGACACAUUUAGGGAAGUACAAUAUGCAUGGAAAAGUUUUAACAAUAGACUAGAACAAGUAGAAUAAAUAGUUUCAGAGCUCAAAGAUAUAGUUUUCAAAUUAAUAAUCAGACAAAAAUAAAGAAAAAAAUCAAAAGAAGUGAAUAAAGUCUCCAAGAAAUAUGGGAUCAUGUAAAAUGGCCAAACCUAAGAAUAACUGGUGUUGCUGAGAGAGAAGACAGCAAACAGUUUGGAAAUUUUAUUCGAGGGAAUAAUUGAGGAAAACUUCUCUGGCCUUGCUAGAGAUAUAGAUAUCCAAAUACAAGAAGCUCAAAAAAUUCCUGGGAGAUUCAUCACAAAAAGGACUUCACCAAGGCAUAUAUAAUAAUCAGUCUAUCUAAAGUCAACAUGACAGAAAGAAUUCUGAGAGCAGUGAGACAAAUGCACCGGGUAACCUAUAAAGGAAAACCUAUCAGACUAACUGCAGGCUUCUCACCAGAAACUUUA